GACGAGGGGUCCUAGCGUUGUUCGGAAUCAUUGGGCGUAAAGCGUGUGUAGGCGGCCAUCCAAGUCAGUUGUGAAAUCCCCGGGCUUAACCCGGGAAGUGCUUCUGAUACUGUUUGGCUUGAGUACUGGAGAGGAUAGUAGAAUUCCUGGUGUAGUGGUGAAAUACGUAGAUAUCAGGAGGAAUACCGGUGGCGAAGGCGGCUAUCUGGCCAUGUACUGACGUUGAGACACGAAAGCGUGGGGAGCAAACAGG
rnacentral:rRNA from 1 species